GGCCUAUGGGCUGAAGAUGGAUGUCCCAACAUUACAGAGGAACUUCGGGUGACUGUCCAGGGCCCAGGCAGAUGGCGGGGAAGGCAACAUGUUACAAAAGAAGAUAUGAGUAAAUGCCUAAACGAAGACUUGAGAAACACAAAGAACUGGAGCAACCAUGAAAAAAAUUCAAGAUACGAAAAGAGAAUUGAAUAAGGAGGUAGAAUCUCUGAAGAAGAACCAAACUGAAGUAAAACAAAAUGAAAAACUCAGGAAAUCAAACAAAAAGCUCAGAGGCAAGCUUAACCAUGGAUCAUAUGGAAGAGAGAGUAUCAGGUCUUAAAGACAAGGUAGAGGAACUCAGUCUAAGAAAAUGUUAAAAUAGGACCAGAAAAGAAAGCCAUUGUGUCUCAUAAUAAAACACCAAAUAAACAGAAAAAAGAAAGUGUACUAAAAGUUGCCAGAGAAGAAAGUCAAGUGACAUACAAAAGCAUUGGCACUGGAAUAACAACUGGCUUUUCAAUGGAGACAGAGAGGAAAGAAAUAAAGAGAGAAAGGAAGGAAGGAAGAAAGGGAAGAAAGGAAGGAAGGAAGAAAGAAAGAAGGAAAGGAGAGCCCUAGACUGGUGCUCUACACAUUCUGAAAGACUACAGAUGCCAGCCCAGAGUAUAAUGCCCAGAAAAAUUAUCAGCCAUACUGAAUCCCCCAACCCCUCCAAAAAUACAGAAUAAAAGACUGGAUUAAAAAACA